rnacentral:rRNA from 1 species
AAAAAAAUAGAUCUCAGUUCGGACUGUAGGCUGCAACUCGCCUACACGAAGUUGGAAUUGCUAGUAAUCGUGGAUCAGCAUGCCACGGUGAAUACGUUCCCGGGUCUUGUACACACCGCCCGUCACACCAUGGGAGCUGGUAACACCCGAAGUCAGUAGUCUAACCGCAAGGAGGACGCUGCCGAAGGUGGGAUUAGCGACUGGGGUGAAGUCGUAACAAGGUACC